CCUACGGGUGGCAGCAGUGAGGAAUAUUGGUCAAUGGACGCAAGUCUGAACCAGCCAUGCCGCGUGCAGGAUGACGGCUCUAUGAGUUGUAAACUGCUUUUGUACGAGGGUAAACCCCGAUACGUGUAUCGGGUUGAAAGUAUCGUACGAAUAAGAAUCGGCUAACUCCGUGCCAGCAGCCGCGUUAAUACGGAGGAGCCGAGCGUUAUCCGGAUUUAUUGGGUUUAAAGGGUGCGUAGGCGGUUUGAUAAGUUAGAGGUGAAAUUUCGGGGCUCAACCCCGAAACUGCCUCUAUUACUGUGGGACUAGAGAGUAGUUGCGGUAGGCGGAAUGUAUGGUGUAGCGGUGAAAUGCUUAGAGAUCAUAAAGAACACCGAUGGCGAAGGCAGCUUACCAAACUAUAUCUGACGUUGAGGCACGAAAGCGUGGGUAGCAAACAGGAUUAGAUACCCUUGUAGUC
rnacentral:rRNA from 1 species